CUGGCUUAGCAUGGCCGCGCUAAUGGGAGCGUCGUGAGGCAGUAUAUAACCUCAUUAGGGCUGCCUUGGCGCUUGGUUAGCGUGGGCACGCUUGUUCAGGUGUUCCAAUGUUUUUUUAUGAAGUUACACACUAUACUUACAACACAUUCAUUGGUUGCCUCCCUGAUAUAACGUCGCGGAAUGACGCAAGUAGUUGAGCCAUCACUCCUCAUUCACGUACUAGGGUUCUUUCAAAUUUAUCGCCACCGUAUCCCCUUUUUCUUUAUCUAUUCCAAGGUAAUGUUUCAACUUUUGCCUAUUUACUGAAAAUUUAUUUGUCCCAUCUUCUAAUUCGAUCCCAAAAGCCCCAAUUUCAAACAUUUGCACCACUAUAAAUAGACCUGACCAUUGGGACUUUAAUUUACAUGGAAACAACCUCAACCUUGAAUUAUACAGUAAAACCUUGUCACCGGGUUUGAAAUCUCUGUCUGCAAUGUGCUUGUCAUGCAUCUUUUUUAUUCUUUCCUUGUACAACCGCAUGCUUUCAAAGGCUUGAUAUGUAAAUUCUUCCAGCUCAUGCAACUCUGUCAGUCGAUUUUGUCCAGUUGCUUCGGGACCUAUGUUCAAUUGGUUCAGUGCCCACCAAGCUCGAUGUUCUAGCUCCACAGGCAGGUGACAGGCCUUCCUAAAUACCAACUUGUAUGGUUACAUACCUAUUGGUGUUUUGAAUGCAGUUCUAUAGUCCCCGAGUGCGUUAUCAAUCUCUUUUGCCCAAUCAGUUUGCAUGGCAUUCACCGUCUUGGUUAGUACACUUUUUAUCUCCCUGUUGGACACUUCAACCUAGCCACUGGUUUGUGGAUGCUAAGGGGUAGCCACUUUGUAGCGUACAUAAUACUUUGCCAGUAAUUU
rnacentral:lncRNA from 1 species